GACGAACGCUGGCGGCGUGCUUAACACAUGCAAGUCGAACGGAAAGGCCCUGCUUUUGUGGGGUGCUCGAGUGGCGAACGGGUGAGUAACACGUGAGUAACCUGCCCUUGACUUUGGGAUAACUUCAGGAAACUGGGGCUAAUACCGGAUAGGAGCUCCUGCUGCAUGGUGGGGGUUGGAAAGUUUCGGCGGUUGGGGAUGGACUCGCGGCUUAUCAGCUUGUUGGUGGGGUAGUGGCUUACCAAGGCUUUGACGGGUAGCCGGCCUGAGAGGGUGACCGGCCACAUUGGGACUGAGAUAAGGCACAGACUACUACGGGAGGCAACAGUGGGGAAUAUUGCACAAUGGGCGGAAGCCUGAUGCAGCAACGCCGCGUGCGGGAUGACGGCCUUCGGGUUGUAAACCGCUUUCGCCUGUGACGAAGCGUGAGUGACGGUAAUGGGUAAAGAAGCACCGGCUAACUACGUG
rnacentral:rRNA from 1 species